AUAUUAAUAGGCCCAGGAAGAAUAAACCACCCAGGAAUGCCCUUAUUAAAGGGCGAAGGAAACGGCAAGAACCCAGCAAUUGAACCGCCGGCCAUCUCGGUCGCGCGGAAUAUAGUGUUGGGAGAGCCUCAUCGUUGCGAUCCGGACGUUUCCAAGUGCACCUUGACUGGGACCAUGGCCCGUAGAGGGUGAUAGCCCCGUGAGACCGUUGGAUUGCUGCGCUGGCUUUUCCCUAGAGUCGAAUUGUUUGGGAGUACAGCUCAAAGUGCGAGGUAAACUCCUCGUAAGGCUAAAUAUGACCCCGAGACCGAUAGCGAACAAGUACCGUGAGGGAAAGUUGAAAAGCACUUUGAAGAGAGAGUUCAAGAGUACGUGAAACUGUGUAGUAGUAAACGGAGGGGCUCUCGAAGUCGGCGUUGACGGUUCAUGGUGUCGGCCGGUGAGCCUGGGGGUUGUUGAUCUGCAAAGACUUCACUCUUAGGUCGCGCUGGUUGCCGCUUGCACUCCGUUGGCGCCUCACGCAACGAACCGUUCGGACCGGACCGAGGCUGUGGGUGAAGUUUCAGGCCUAGCUUGGAGCCCCGCAUUCCUGGCUCUGGACCGGACGGGUAAUGGAGCGGUCUCUUAUAGAGGGUGUCUUAAUGGCACGGGCUGCAUCUCUGUGCGAGCUGGUCGGCGGCCCCUCCGACCCGUCUGAAACACGGAC
rnacentral:rRNA from 1 species